rnacentral:rRNA from 1 species
AUUGAACGCUGGCGGCAUGCUUUACACAUGCAAGUCGAACGGUAACAGGCCGCAAGGUGCUGACGAGUGGCGAACGGGUGAGUAAUGCAUCGGAACGUGCCCAGUCGUGGGGGAUAACUACUCGAAAGAGUAGCUAAUACCUCAUACGAUCUAUGGAUGAAAGCGGGGGACCGUAAGGCCUCGCGCGAUUGGUGCGGCCGAUGUCAGAUUAGGUAGUUGGUGGGGUAAAGGCUCACCAAGCCAACGAUCUGUAGCUGGUCUGAGAGGACGACCAGCCACACUGGGACUGAGACACGGCCCAGACUCCUACGGGAGGCAGCAGUGGGGAAUUUUGGACAAUGGGCGCAAGCCUGAUCCAGCAAUGCCGCGUGCAGGAAGAAGGCCUUCGGGUUGUAAACUGCUUUUGUACGGAACGAAACGGCUCUGGUUAAUACCCGGGGCUAAUGACGGUACCGUAAGAAUAAGCACCGGCUAACUACGUG